rnacentral:rRNA from 1 species
GCGUAAAGGCCUGACUUUCUGGAAGGGCUGCAUUUAUUAGAUACAGAGCCAGGCCCCCUUGUGGGGAUUUCAUGGACGAUUCAUAAUAAACGUGCGGAGCGCAUGACAUGCGUCGGCGCUGCUUCAUGCGAGUUUCUGACCUAUCAGCUUUCGACGGUAGGGUAUUGGCCUACCGUGGCAUUGACGGGUAACGGAGAAUUAGGGUUCGAUUCCGGAGAGGGAGCCCGAUAAACGGCUACCACAUCUAAGGAAGGCAGCAGGCGCGCAGAUUACCCAAUCCUGACACAGGGAGGUACUGACAAGAAAUAACAAAGCAUGCCGCUAUGCGGUUUUGCGAUUGGAAUGGAUUAGAUUCAAAACCCUUUUUGACUAUCGAUUGGAGGGCAAGUCAGGUGCCAGCAAGCCGCGGUAGUUCCAGCUCCAAUAGCGUAUAUUAAAGUUGUUGCGGUUAAAAAGCUCGUGAGUGUGGUUUUCUGUCGGUGCCUGCCGGUCCCGAACAUUGUUCNGUGCAUCCGGUCCAGCCUCGGAAUUCNCUUCGGAAGCGUGCUUGUCAUUUAGUUUGAUGAGGCGUGACCGAGGACAUCCACUUUGANGAAAUUUAGAGUGUUUUACGGGAAAGCAUGCGCUUGAAAUAACAUNAGCAUGGGAUAAUUUAUNCAGGGACCUUUAACCCUAAUUUUUUGGGUCCCUAGGANCAAGGUAAUGGGUAUUAGGGAUAGCUGGUGGGCAAUCCA